CUGCACACCCAACCCCUACCCUUUCAUCCUCACCGUGAAUCGACGGCGGCAUGGGCGCCAUGAUCGUGCGCACGGAGGGGUGCAAAUCCUGCUUCUUCUCCUACCAUGGUCAGUGACGCCGGAUCUGGCAGUUUCCAGGUCCACCCGUGAUUGUAUAUCCUACAAUGUUGCUUCCCUUUAUUUUUUAAAUCCUACCGAUUCUGGUCAUAAUUAUGUUUUUGUGAGGUGGUGGAGGAUUUCUGUGGAAAAGGCAAACUUCCUGUUGAUGGAGAUGGCAGUGACUGGUUGUCAUUCCAACUUAGUGAUGUUAAGGUUCUUGUGAAUGAAAUUACUUCUGUUCUGUUGAAAAGGAUAUUGCAUGAGGUUCCUAUGGAUAUAGUUACAAGGUUAUUGGAUGUUCUCAAGGUUUGUCGAUAGAUGUGAAGGAAAAUGUUUUCUCUGCUUUGGAGUCCAGUCAUACUACCAUGGCAAUUAUGACCCACCAUGAUAACAAACAACUAGCCAACAGGCGCAUGCGUGGUCCCUGGCCCCCUCCAAGCGGCCACAGGCUCCCUCAACGUCGCGCCUGGCAGUUGGUGGAAUGGGUUCUUCGCCGAUGUCGAAGCCGAGGAAACUUGCCAUACAUUUCCCUUCCAGAAUCAAACUUCACAGGCAUCAAGUUCAGUCCCGGGCAACAACAUUACUGCUAUGACCUCAUUAGUCUCGUGUGCAAUUCUAGAAACUGGCACAGAUGAUCAGCAAUGUGCUACUAAUGGUUGGAAAGCGGAACUUGAUAUACUCUUUUGUAAUGUCCAAAUAUACCGC
rnacentral:misc_RNA from 1 species